CCUCCAUCCUGCAUGCCACUCUGGCUGCUGCUGGUUUUAUCGGUGUUUGCUACUGCCAGAGCUGAGCAAGUAGCAGCGCACAAUGGAAAAGCCGCACGACCAACACAACCACAACAUAGAUCCCUCAAGCAUGGAAGAUAUUGUGUUUUAGCUGUUUUGGAAAAGUAAACUUCAUUGCUAAACAAGAAACAAGGAUUUUUCCCCUCCCUGUCUGCCUCUAACAUCAGACACCACCAGGGAAGAUGACAGCCUAAUCUACACAUCAGAAAGCAACACUCACAAAAGGACUCAGGGAUACCCAGAGGAAUACACUUCUACUCUCUACAUCUGCUGAGCAAAAUGGAGUUUCUUUGCUACCUAAGAGGACUUUUACAAUCUUUGACUCCUUCUCAGCCUGAAGAAGGGUGUUUGUGCCCAAAAGCUCGCAAAGAAAGGCAUUUUUUGCUACUAUUUAGUUGGUCCAAUAAAAGAUAUUGCU